rnacentral:rRNA from 1 species
UACGUAGGGGGCAAGCGUUAUCCGGAAUUACUGGGUGUAAAGGGAGCGUAGACGGUAAUGUAAGUCUGGAGUGAAAGGCGGGGGCCCAACCCCCGGACUGCUCUGGAAACUAUGUUACUAGAGCGCAGGAGAGGUAAGCGGAAUUCCUAGUGUAGCGGUGAAAUGCGUAGAUAUUAGGAGGAACACCAGUGGCGAAGGCGGCUUACUGGACUGUAACUGACGUUGAGGCUCGAAAGCGUGGGGAGCAAACAGG